rnacentral:rRNA from 1 species
GACGAACGCUGGCGGCGUGCUUAACACAUGCAAGUCGAACGGAAAGGCCCCGCUUUUGUGGGGUGCUCGAGUGGCGAACGGGUGAGUAACACGUGAGUAACCUGCCCUUGACUUUGGGAUAACUUCAGGAAACUGGGGCUAAUACCGGAUAGGAGCUCCUGCUGCAUGGUGGGGGUUGGAAAGUUUCGGCGGUUGGGGAUGGACUCGCGGCUUAUCAGCUUGUUGGUGGGGUAGUGGCUUACCAAGGCUUUGACGGGUAGCCGGCCUGAGAGGGUGACCGGCCACAUUGGGACUGAGAUACGGCCCAGACGCCUACGGGAGGCAGCAGUGGGGAAUAUUGCACAAUGGGCGGAAGCCUGAUGCAGCAACGCCGCGUGCGGGAUGACGGCCUUCGGGUUGUAAACCGCUUUCGCCUGUGACGAAGCGUGAGUGACGGUAAUGGGUAAAGAAGCACCGGCUAACUACGU